CUAAGAAGUAGUGUAAAUGGAGGCACGAAGAGUUUUGAUCUCUUAAGAAUAGGUUCAAGCCCUUUCUUUUUAG
rnacentral:tRNA from 2 species